UUGUGGUUAUUAUGUUUUGUACUCAUUGCAUAUAACAGAGAACUUACACAUUCUGAGGAGAUAAAUGGCAUUAAUUGAAGUUGGCUCAUUCACACGAUAGUAAGUUUGCUGCUUUGUGCUUUGGAUUUAACUUUUUUUUUCAUUUAUAUUUGUUAUUUAUUCCGUUAAUUAUUGCUUUUGCUGAAACACAAAGUCGCAGACAGCUUCCUAGACAGCUUAGUUUCAGUAUAACUGAAAAUGUAUGAUGAAUUUUCGGCUUUUAUUUCCAGGUUGUGGUUUCUUUAAGUCUGAUUGAGUCCAAGAUGUCUGAGUCAAAGAGUUUUAUAUACACUUUGGAUAAAGGAGCAUGGUUUGAAGACUAUGAGUGCAUAUACAGCUCCAUAUUUGUGAUUUAACAUGUAAUAUGACACGACCACUACCUGUCAUCACUGGUUCUUUGAGGUUUUACAUUGGAAAGUUGCAUUCAUCAAACGUUUAAGAGCCCGGUGUGCUUUCAUAAGAGAUGUUGUGGUCUUUAGAAUUAAACAAGGAUCAGAUAUAGGGAAGAAGCAUGAUUAUUUCCAAACAAUACCAAAUGAUCAGCAGUGUUAAACUACUUUAAAACAUGUUUUAUCUUUAAUUGUGCUGUUAUUGUGCUUGCUCAUGAGUUGUGGGUGAUAACAUGAUAAUCAUCUGCCUACUUGAUCACAUGCACAUUUGUGAUGCUUGCAAGAAAAAACAUUGUCUAGCUGGUAAUUGUCAUAUUACACAGAUUUCAAGAGACUGUUUCCUAGACAACAGAAGAGUUGUGUUACAUCCACAAACUGUACAGCGUUGUGUAUCUGCACUUAAGUCAAACGCCUGAUGGCAACUGCUGCUCCCACUGAUGAUAUGGACAAGAUGCAAAUGUUUGCAUAGCCAGAAUCAAACUCUUUGACCUACACCAGUUAAAGAAUCUGCACUAUUGAAAAACAAAAAACAAAAAACCACAACUUAUGGUUCUUUUGAGUCACACAGCACAUAACUUGCUAGAAAUUUUGUGUCAGUUUUUAAAUGGAAGCUGAAUCAUUCUGUAGCUGAAAGCUGUUUAAGGGCCAAGCUCUGCCAGAUCAUUCAAUUAAGUGCACAUUUUUAUAUACUCCAACUUAAAACUAAAUGCUCUGAAGCAAAGGUAACGUAAGGGUUUGUUUCAGUUUGUUUUGGUUAGUUUGGGAGAGGGAGGUUGGUUUGCUUCUUCUCAAGGUGUGGGGGAUGUGUGGGAAAGGGAGAGACAUUAAAUGCUAGUUAACAAAAACUCAAAAGGACGUGCUGCUGUUCUGUUCCUUUGAUGUCGUCCAUAGAGAGGGAUUAAAUGACUCUCUGAGAAACGUGUUGAACUAAUUUAUGUAAUGUAGUAAAUAAUCUCAAUGUGUUAGUAAUUUGACUGUUUUAUUGAGUCAACGGAAACACCAAUAUGGAGGCAUUCCAGACCCAAAAUCCUUCCUUCCCACAAAUAAAUCUCAGGUGGCUUUCACAAGAUCAUAUGCUAUUUUAGAGCCCAGAAAUUAUUUUUGGAACCAGACUAAAUGUGUAUGAGAAGGAAAUAAAGGUCAUUUUGAAACAGGAAAUAAGUGUACAAUAGCAUUGUUAAGAAAAUGCAUCCCUCUUUCUGACCCUGCCUGUAUCACCAUGCUACAGAACAGAGUCACUUUUUGACUACAGUCAUACAAAGCUUGAUGUGGUAGACAAAUAAUACAUGUUAAGAAACUCCGGAAAGAAUCCUUGUAGUACAAUCCCUACUGGAAAACAAAUCCCAAAUCUGCACAUGAAUCUGUGGAAAAGAGUUUCUUGUUGGUUUCAAUCAGAAGAGCAAAGUUUCUUUCUCCCUUUUUUUAUGUUAUUGACACUCUUCCUGUUGUGUCAUCUUUUAUUUCCCCGAAAGACAAGAAAAGCUGUGUGAGACAAACUUGUGUGUUGUGGUUUGCACUUCAGUGCAUUUCAUUUCUGCAAAGAUACAUGUCUGUAUAUACAGAGUACAGAGAAUGAUAUUGCAUGCGUCUGGGUUUGAUGCUGCUGAGUGAGCAAUUAACUUUCCUGUCCUUUAUUUCCAUUGCAUAGGUUUACAUGUAAUUGAAAUUCCUGGCAUUGAAAGGUGGUUUGGAAACUUUCUGGCCAGGCAACAAGGUAUUCUGAAUCCUGGGAGUCUGACAGGACUCCUGCAGCCUGUGUUCCACAUCUCUGCUUGUCGUCGUGAUCAAGGAAAAUACUGAAGUCAAAAUGAUGGAUGUUUUAUGAGGCUGCUUAAAGAGGACAACUCACAUCACCCUGCUGGCAAAUAUGGAUGUGAAUAUACAAAAUUAUAACGCACUGCCCUGCAAAUAAAUUUACAGGAACAUCAGACUUCUUUUAUAUACAAUUCUGAUAGCAAUUUCAAGUCUGUCUUAAUCAUACCAAGGAGAUUGCCCUUCCAAAAUCUAUAUGAAGCCUACAACCACAGGGCCCAUUUCGUGCAUCCGUGGCAUUCAGAAGCAUCAUAAGCAAACAGGCCCUGGAAGAUACGUAUGAAGAAGUAGUAUCAGUAGUUCAGCGCUGAUACCACCCCAAUGCAGAAACUCAAAACCCCCUCACAAAAUAACGUGAAGUUGUGGAUGAACUGUUGCGGCCUAGCUCCUCAUCUCCACCCUGUGCUGGCAUGGCUCUUCCUUGGAGAUGACUUCUUGCCUUGCUUCCAGCAGUCAGCGUGUCCUGCCAGGAAAGAAAAGACUGGAGGCUGCAGGAGGCGGAUGGGUAUGAGUGUGUGUGAGGAAUGGCCCGCUCUGUUCCAGGGUCACCAUCUGCCACAGCUGUACACUGUUCUGUGAGACCUCCUAAAGCACAUGGCGUGUCUCACAUCCUGCCCAAAAUUCUCCACUGGCAAAAAUCACCGGGUGUUAAGACUGCAGUGGAUUAAGAAUGGACUUAGAGUCUUCCAGCGAUCAUGUGGUACGCUGUGAUGCUAUGAUGCUGGCAUGUUGGCAGCGGCCAGGAACAGUCUUGUGAGUGUGACGGACACAUCAGGAAAAAUGAGAUCAAGAUUGGUCUCUUCGGCAAAAAUAUAUUCUCUUAGGAGCUCUCACAAAAGUAUUCACUACUGGAUGGAAUCUGAUUGUCAUUAAAUUGAAGCUUCUCUGCGUACUA